GCUUGCUCCACCGGAAAAAGAAGAGUGGCGAACGGGUGAGUAACACGUGGGUAACCUGCCCAUCAGAAGGGGAUAACACUUGGAAACAGGUGCUAAUACCGUAUAACAAUCGAAACCGCAUGGUUUUGAUUUGAAAGGCGCUUUCGGGUGUCGCUGAUGGAUGGACCCGCGGUGCAUUAGCUAGUUGGUGAGGUAACGGCUCACCAAGGCCACGAUGCAUAGCCGACCUGAGAGGGUGAUCGGCCACAUUGGGACUGAGACACGGCCCAAACUCCUACGGGAGGCAGCAGUAGGGAAUCUUCGGCAAUGGACGAAAGUCUGACCGAGCAACGCCGCGUGAGUGAAGAAGGUUUUCGGAUCGUAAAACUCUGUUGUUAGAGAAGAACAAGGAUGAGAGUAACUGUUCAUCCCUUGACGGUAUCUAACCAGAAAGCCACGGCUAACUACGUGCCAGCAGCCGCGGUAAUACGUAGGUGGCAAGCGUUGUCCGGAUUUAUUGGGCGUAAAGCGAGCGCAGGCGGUUUCUUAAGUCUGAUGUGAAAGCCCCCGGCUCAACCGGGGAGGGUCAUUGGAAACUGGGAGACUUGAGUGCAGAAGAGGAGAGUGGAAUUCCAUGUGUAGCGGUGAAAUGCGUAGAUAUAUGGAGGAACACCAGUGGCGAAGGCGGCUCUCUGGUCUGUAACUGACGCUGAGGCUCGAAAGCGUGGGGAGCAAACAGGAUUAGAUACCCUGGUAGUCCACGCCGUAAACGAUGAGUGCUAAGUGUUGGAGGGUUUCCGCCCUUCAGUGCUGCAGCUAACGCAUUAAGCACUCCGCCUGGAGAGUACGACCGCAAGGUUGAAACUCA
rnacentral:rRNA from 1 species